rnacentral:rRNA from 1 species
AGAGUUGAUCCUGGCUUAGGACGAACGCUGGCGGCACGCUUAACACAUGCAAGUCGAACGGAGAUAUUUGAGUUACUUAGGAUAUCUUAGUGGCGGACGGGUGAGUAACACGUGAGCAACCUGCCUUGGAGAGAGGGAUAGCUUCUGGAAACGGAUGGUAAUACCUCAUAACAUACAUAGACCGCAUGAUCUGUGUAUCAAAGAUUUAUCACUCUGAGAUGGGCUCGCGUCUGAUUAGCUAGAUGGUGAGGUAACGGCCCACCAUGGCGACGAUCAGUAGCCGGACUGAGAGGUUGAACGGCCACAUUGGGACUGAGACACGGCCCAGACUCCUACGGGAGGCAGCAGUGGGGAAUAUUGCACAAUGGGGGAAACCCUGAAUGCAGCGAUGCCGCGUGGAGGAAGAAGGUUUUCGGAUUGUAAACUCCUGUCUUAAAGGACGAUAAUGACGGUACUUUAGGAGGAAGCUCCGGCUAACUACGUGCCAGCCGCAGC